AUUCUACUCCCUCCGUUGCACAAUACAUGCCUUCUAUUUGUCAAAAUAUAUAUGUAUAUAGACAUGUUUUAGUAUAUAGGUACAUCCAUUUUUGGACAAAUGGAAGUCAAGUAUUUUGGAACGGAGGGAGUACACA
rfam:Triticum aestivum genome assembly, contig: Triticum_aestivum_CS42_TGACv1_scaffold_515995_6BS